UUUUAUCUGGUUACAGAUCGAACAGCCUCCAACACAGAACGUCUUUGUGUGGAGACCCAGUUUUUGAGGCCAGCUGUGAUUCUCCCUCUUUAAGGAAAGUAAACAAACCUCUUUCUUACUUUCUUUUUUUUUUCUUCUUUUUUUUUCUGUGACUUGUAUGUGAUUCCCAGCAUUCUGUAAGCAAAUGCUUUCCCAUUUGGGGAAGCGCAGUGCUUUUGAGAGGAAGGUAUUAUCUUAAAUAACUGUGUCUGUGCAGAGCCCGUGUGUUCCCAGGCAGGAAUGGCAAGGAGCCGUCUGAUUUUAAUGGUUUCCACAUGGACUCUCAGAGAGGCCGGCCAAGACUCCAGCACGGGCAGAAAUCUCCAAAUUUAGAAGAAAUAUGAAAAUUGUCAAACGUGCCUUCCUUAGGCUGAGACGGCGGGCCCGGCCCCCUAGCCUGAGCCCUCCCUCCCCAUUACUUCUCAUCCUCACACACCGCGGGUCACAGCUCGGGGUCACGGGGGCUGAUACACCAGCCAAUCAGGGAGCUCGGGAGGUUUUCCCUGACGUGCCGCUCUGAUAGUAAGCCUGCCCCUUGCUUCAUAUAAGGAAAAAGAAAAGUCUUUGCUCCCCAAGCCGACCAUGCUUCAAAAAGGAGCCUCGCACCGGGAACCCCCUUCAGACGGUGGAGCGCACGGCAUCCAUGGGAACAAAGCGGGGACCCCCUCUCUGCAUCCCUACCCAUCCCGACCGACACCAAACAUCCAGCACACUCCUACCCAACCAAAUUGGCCAGGACCAGUGUGACAAUCCUUCUUCUUCAAGACACAGACUGCGAGUCUGCAGGGGGAAACACAACAUGCUGCAGGUUUAAUAGCUGCAGGUCAGACAGGCUGGCUGGGUGACAAACUGAAGAAUUCAUUCAAACCUCCGGUUCUUUUUAUGGGACUGAGUCACUUCCAAUGUAAUCAACAGGACGUAGGAGGUCACAGUCCAUGUUGAUCAAAGAUGGUAAGAUGGAACACACAAAAGGUGUCAUGCAUGAUUCAUCCCUGCCACAGUCCUCAAGCCCAAGGUGCAGUGCUGCAUCUCUGGUCAACUGGGAGUCUGAGAUGAAGCACUGUAGCUCGGGAGGAAGGGCACUGCCUGCUAACAGACUGAACAAGAUACCUUGUUUUUAACAUUACAAAUUUUGGAUUUUUAUUUCAUAAAAUUCUCAUUUAUAAUUAGUUGUAGAUUAAGCAUUAUUCUUUAGCAUUAGCAUUAUUUGGUAGACCAGGUGUUGGUUAUUCUAGGAUUAAAUGUACUUCUACUGUUGCCACUCUUCUGUCACAAUGAAUUCCAUCAUUUCCCCAUUCCCGGGGUCCAGUUUUCCCAGGAAUCCCUUGGGCAAUCAUAAGGGGGAUUCCUGGAAAUACUGUUCUUGGGGGUGGGGCUGGACAACUGAAUUUAUCAAAUUAUAUUGUAGCUGUACUUUUAGCUGUAAGACAUAUAUUGCCAUAUACACUACCAUUUAAAAGUUCUUUUAAUCGUUUUUUAUGCUCUCCAAUGCUACAUUUAUUGAAUUAAAGAUACAGUUAAAACAGUAAUUUUGUAAAAUAUUAUUUCAAUUUAAAAUAACUGUUUUCUUCUCUAAUAUAUUAUUGUGAUGAUAAAGCUGGGUUUUCAGCAGCCGUUACUAAAAGUCUUCAGUGUUCACAUGAUCCUUCGUUCUUUUUAAAAAUCAUUCUAAUAUGCUUUUAUUGGUGCUGCAGAGACACUUCUUAUUAUCAGUGCUGAAAACAGCUGUGCCGCUUAAUAUUUUUGUGAAAUUGGUGAUAUAUUUUUUUUUCAGGAUCUUUGAUUGAUAAAAAGUUCAAAAGCAUUCACUUGAAACGGAAAUCUUAUGUCACAUUAUACAAAUCCUUACUGUUGCUUUUGAUCAAUUUAAUGUUUAUUUGCUGAAUAAGAUUAUAUAUUUCUGCCCUUAACUUUGAAUACUUAUAUUGCAAGUAUGAGUUAUAAUUUACUUUACAGAUUUAAAUACAAAUAUUUUAAAGUGAUCGUUUAAAAAAAAUAAAUACAUGAACCUCCUCCACAAUGUUUCAAUAAAAAUAUUGUUUAUCAUCUAAAAAUGUUGUUAUUGUUUAUUCAUCUAAAAGUGAUGUUCUGACGAUGUUCUGUGUGUGUGUGUGUGUGUAAACUUUUUCCACUUUUAUCAUAUGAUAUGAAAAAAGCAGAGCCACCACCUAUUAGUGAAAAUGUACGGAACAUCAAACACUGUCCACAGGGGGGCGCCGUUUACAUUGUAAGGCGGUUCAAAAGGAAACCGCUGCCCACACGUGGUGGCUCAGCUUACAGGAAUUUUACAGAAGUCUGACUGGAGCGAUUUACAUUUAUCACGUCAGACCUGCAUUAGGAGAAUAUAUGAUAAACCUCCAUCUGAGUGCAUGUAAAUGUUAACCAGAAGGAAAUUCGAACAGAUAAUCAUCUGCAGAGAGAGCAUUCAUCAAGUAAUACAUUUUUGAGUUUUAUUAUACUGUUAUACUGUACUCAGAUAUGAGCGAACGCCUGUAUACACAUGCUCCAGCACAAAUGUGCAGUGAGUCAUUCAGGAUUAAGUGGGCGGUGGAUGCUCAUACAUUUACGUGAGAUUUUUUUAAGUGUUCACCCAUGCUGCUACUGAAAUGUGUGACAGUCUGUGGGAGAAAAAGAUCCACGCAUUUUGACAGAGAUCGAAUGCAAUUAUAUAGAUUUUUAAGUAAUAGUAAACAAGCAACAGUAAAGCGAUUGUCUUUCAAAACAACUCCCUCGUAUGGGUCCUGUCAAGGUAUACUGAAAUACAUUAGUUGCAUAAAUGUUGAUAUGGUUUGCUUACAUGCGAGGAGGGGGAAGGGAAAGGCACGAGGAUCAGUGCUGAGCUGGACUGUGUCGUGUUCAGCCCAACAGCUGCCUGGUGGAAUCCAGCCCUGUUGAUUCUGAGCCUCUGAAUCCACAUUGACGGAGACGAUGAUACAAAGACAGCUGUGUGGGCUUCAGACAGUACCAUGUAGCUUUAAGGCUGAAUCAAACUUUUCUGCAUGUGUCUACAUCAGCAUUAUUUUGGGUUACAGCACACAUGUAUAAACCAUAGCUACAUAAUCAGAAACAAUAAUAGAUAGGACAGAAGUAAAAAAAAAAACACUAAGGAGAACAAAGAAAUAUGAAUAUGAUUUUCUUAUUAUAUGACUUUAUGUUGUUUCCUUUUGGCCCAAUAUAGUGAAUUGGCUUGGUAUAUUUGCUAUUAAUAUAAUAACUGAAUAUACACAAUUAUUUGGAGCAGUGUGUAAGUAUUGUUUGCUUUAUUUUACUUAUGUAUAAUAACUGUUUUAGGAAUUUAGGAAUUAUAAAAAUAACUAUAAUAUAGUUUAUAUCUGUUAUUGUUAUUUGUGGUUGGGAAUGUAAUAUGUUUAUUGUAUAACAGUAAAAAUGUCCUGUAAACAUGCUGCUAAGGUCUUCUGUUUGUGGAUUGCAGUUUAGCAAUAAAAGUCUGACUCAUGAUUCUUUGCUCAAGCAACCUGAAAAUCCCAGAAGGCUAGUACACGUGACUAGAGAGCAUUAGAGGAAUAAUAAAAAAAAAUCAUGUUUCAUAAAUGAUUAUUGUGAUCAGCAUCAAGUAUAGAUCAGCGAAUCUUAUAGUUAAGCUGAGUGUAGCAACAUGUUUAUACAUGAUUUGGAUGGAAUGCCUCAAUUUAAUCAAACAUCUAAUCGGGUUAUGGACAGAUUUUGAAGGUGGAGUUUCAUUACUUUCAUGUGACCUGUUGUUGUAUAAAACACACUGACAUGUGAUUAAAUAAGAUUUAUGGCUGUAAAUGCUAGUACAAACUCUGACCUACAGUAUGGUAAUACAAAUCUCUCCGUUCUGGCUCAGACUCGCACAUAUGACGCAGAGGAAGAGAUCAGGGUGGAGAAACUUGUAUGCCUGUCAAUGCUGUGGAAAUGUGACACACACAUUAACUGAUUCAUGUGAUCAUGGCACACCGGGCAUGCCAAGGUGUGUUCUUCCUGUUCCCUCCAUUUUUUCUCAUUCAAAUGCCAACGUUCCCAGGGCCAAAUGUCUUUCACCAUCUGUUUAAACAAGACCACACACUGCCACUCCAUUUGACGUGAGAAUUCCCAUUCUGUGUGUAUUUCUAGUGACACAUAACAGAAAAAAAAAAAAAUGCUGUUACGUUAAGAGGCAACCAAUUGCCCAGCAAAAAAAAAAAAAAAAAGAAAAUUCCAAUUUCCAUUAUAUGAAGUCAAUGUUAUUUAUAGGCUAGUAUGCUGAUAAGCGUUUUUUUAAUUGAAUUUUCUUUCAACGCAACAUUCUAGGAACGUUGAUCUGUAACAUUCCAAAAAAGUAAAAGUCCCAGGAAGCCAUACUGAGAGAAUGACCUCAUCUCUACUACAUGAAGACAAACUGGAAAAAAACAAAACAAAACAAAAAAACAUUCAACACGUCACUCUAAAAGCUGUGAUGUUUAACUGGUUCACCAUUAACCAUUUUAGUUAAUUUUACCCGUUCACACCAAGAGUGGUAACUAUAAAGAUAACUAAAGCCUAAUUUUUGUAAUUCUCGUGCUCAUAGCAGGAUGGAUUCCGAUUGGGUGUCAAUGUUCUUAUCGUGAUUCCAAUCUUAAGUGAUUCCAACGACAUCAUUUCUCUGUGCCUUUAUUGUUAUAGUUGUGGUGUGGACUCGGCUAUUAUUGAAAACGAUUUUUAGAACUAUAUCUUCAUCGUUAUCUUUAUUUGUACUUUGUUAGAACGGGGCUUCACACUCACACUAGUCUGCGGAUAUUCUGGAAUUUAAAUAGUAUGUCAUUAUGAAAAUUACACGGAUUAACCACACAGUCGGGAAAAGUGAA